rnacentral:lncRNA from 1 species
UAACUGUCUUUAAACUAUCAGCAAAGCUAGAAAACCUCAACUUUCAAAAUCAUUGACUUUCUAUCGAACAGAUAACGUCAGAAAAAAAUAACUUAUUUUUUUCUCAACUUCAGUUCAACUAAAAGUUAAUUUCAAACUUGUCAUAUAUGACUCGAAAUCUAUUAUCGACUCAGGUUCGGGUUUACGACUCGCCGACAGCUUCGCUGUGCGACCAAAUUGGAAAAUUAAAUUGUGAAGGAAAAAUGAAUGUCUGUGGUGGGUAGCGGAGGGCUCGGGCCGUCAGGCGUGUGAUCGUGGUUGGUUGUAAUCUGAAGAACAUUGUAUUCCCUUUCAUUUUCGAUAGUGAAGUUCUCUCCUCCCUCGUUCGUGGUUUUUUCCCUGCAAAGAGUUUUCCACGUAAAUCUGUGUGUGUUAUAUUUAUUUUCUGUUUGUGGUUUGAGUGUUUCGUAUUCGCCAUUUUUCGUUUUUCGUGCAUUUGUCGUAACAAAACUGAAAAAUCAACAUACCGAAUGUAUUUGAAACUCACGAU